ensembl:lncRNA
CAGGGGAUUGGGUGUGAGAGAAUACCACCACUCGUUAAUUUCCACUUCAAGGUCUGCUGGUAGAAACAACAAAAUUGCUUAACAAUGUAUUUUUCCUGGGCCAUAAAGGGUGAACUCGCGACGAUUCCAGCCAUCCUGCUGGCUCGGCAAUUGUUCAGAUUCAGCCGGUUUUUGUGACCCUAUUGCUGAGAAAGGAAAAGAGGUUUUCUGUGAAAAAAAAUGAUUCAGUCCAUGUGAUGGCAAACAAAUCAUCCUUGGUUUUGAGGAGGACUGCUGCAACAGAGAUAAUAGGAUUUCCCAUGAGUGGAAGCCUUCCCUGUUGGGGUACCAACAGAAAAACAAGUGGAGAUGUAGUCCUGCUACCCACAGGCAACCAAUGGAAAACUACAGAAGGAUCUCAGUUAGAUCUGAUCCUACAGAAGGAUCUGAGUUAUAAACUCAGUCUUCCUAGUCAAAAGAUUUUGAACCCAAGCAAGUAUGGCAAGAUCUAUUUAGCUGGAAUGAGUAAAAGGAACUGGAAUAACUUAAAAAAAAAAAAAAAACAAAAACAAAAACAGUGUCUCUCCUUACGGAAAAACUUGGUCUCUUUAUGCCUGGUUAAUUAAUAUCCUCACAAGAAUGAAAAGACCUUCCUACACUGACAUUCCAAAACAAGAGUUGAAAAGAGAAGCCUUGCCAACAGAGAACAUCAGCACUUUUUAAUUAUGCUCUUUGUGGUAAAAGGUGGGCCGGUGAGAUGACCUACAGGAGGAAGUCAGCACUUUUUGAGCUUCUUCAAAGGAGACUUUUGAAACUAAGAAAACCUGUAUUUUCACAGAAAAAAAAUCAAACAGUAAAUGACCUAAUGCCUGUUACAAAGACACCUGAUUAAAGCAAAUUCGACGUACAGUUUAGAAUAGACUAGCAUCAAACGGUCUGAAAGGGAACAGAUGAACCAAGAAAAUUGAAAGUCAAUGGAAAUCAUAAAUACCUCCUGAUUACGUGGAUUUUUCCCAGUCACUUUUGAAAAGUAACAAGGAACAUCUGAUCUCUCUGCUCCUGCUCUAAUUAGGUUGAAAGGUGAAUUCUUCAAAAGAGGGAGGCACUGCUUGUGGUUACCUGCUGCAGAUAAGAGUCUGUUGUGAAGUUGCACGUUUUUGCACACUUCAACUUUCCAAAUAAAUGUUUCUUCCAAUUUGAAUAUUUCACUUUUUCGGCUUUUCUGCUUCAUGACUGUUUCCUUUUUUUUUCUGCCCAAAUCAGUGUAUUUUCUCCAAGUGGAGCUGCUGCAUAAUUCUGUAGGUAUUUGAUCAGGGCAGUUUCUCUCAUCAGUCAGAGAGCAAAUGACAUUACCUGUAAUCUCUAACCAUCCUAUGGCAUUGUAAAAUAUGAAGUUUCAGGACAUGAAUUAGCUUUCAAAUACCAUAGAUGCAUAUUAAAAAAAAGCAUGUACCUAUUGUCAUAUGCUACGUUUGUACCUUUAUUAUCAUUCAAUACUCCCCUGGGGACAUUACAGCAUUCCAAACUGAGGAAUAAUGUGAAUACAAUCUGAAUACAGGAGGAUAAAAGAUCUCCAUAGCAAGGAUUGUCUCUGCAAUAAAUGUACAUUUUUGAACACGUCCAUACUAUGAAAUACUGCUGUCUGGACUAAGGUUCCUUUUAGUAUUAGUAUCACAGUAAGUUAAAGAAAACUCUAUUGCCAUAAAAAUAAAAGCUUGUGAUACUCUGAUUUGCCUAUAAAUUGAAUUUUUUUGAAUUAGUCCAGGCAGUUUAGGGAGUUGCGAUACACAGUGAACUAUCUUCACUUCUGAAAAAGCUGUUUGUUCAAUAGCCAGGUGUAGUAUUCCUUUCUUUUUUUUUUUUUUCUCUUAAAUAAAAAUGAACACUGUGCAAACACUGUCUAACUCCUUUUUAAUCUGUCAGCACAUUCUUUACAUCUGUGCAUAAAUAUUAUUAUCACAAACUCAGAGUGCUACUGCAAAAAUUAUCAGAGUCCUCAAAAUGUACUCUGCAGCUUCCAUUGGAAUACAACUUUGAUGCAUUAAUGUGAAAACAAGCAAGCUUUAGGAGUUAAAAAUAGACAUUUCAUUUUCACAGAUGAUUACCCAGGGUUUCCUUCUCUGUCGUAUGUAUGCACAGGGUAAAUAUUUUGUAUUUAGUACAGUAUUGUUUUCUAACACGUCGUUAGGCUUGACAUUAUUUCCGAUUACAUC